rnacentral:rRNA from 1 species
UCCGAAUGGGGAAACCCAGCAUGAGUUAUGUCAUGUUAUCGAUAUGUGAAUACAUAGCAUAUCAGAAGGCACACCCGGAGAACUGAAACAUCUUAGUACCCGGAGGAAGAGAAAGAAAAUUCGAUUCCCUUAGUAGCGGCGAGCGAAACGGGAAGAGCCCAAACCAACAAGCUUGCUUGUUGGGGUUGUAGGACACUCUAUACGGAGUUACAAAGGACGACAUUAGACGAAUCAUCUGGAAAGAUGAAUCAAAGAAGGUAAUAAUCCUGUAGUCGAAAAUGUUGUCUCUCUUGAGUGGAUCCUGAGUACGACGGAGCACGUGAAAUUCCGUCGGAAUCUGGGAGGACCAUCUCCUAAGGCUAAAUACUCUCUAGUGACCGAUAGUGAACCAGUACCGUGAGGGAAAGGUGAAAAGCACCCCGGAAGGGGAGUGAAAUAGAACCUGAAACCGUGUGCUUACAAGUAGUCAGAGCCCGUUAAUGGGUGAUGGCGUGCCUUUUGUAGAAUGAACCGGCGAGUUACGAUUUGAUGCAAGGUUAAGCAGUAAAUGUGGAGCCGUAGCGAAAGCGAGUCUGAAUAGGGCGUUUAGUAUUUGGUCGUAGACCCGAAACCAGGUGAUCUACCCUUGGUCAGGUUGAAGUUCAGGUAACACUGAAUGGAGGACCGAACCGACUUACGUUGAAAAGUGAGCGGAUGAACUGAGGGUAGCGGAGAAAUUCCAAUCGAACCUGGAGAUAGCUGGUUCUCUCCGAAAUAGCUUUAGGGCUAGCCUCAAGUGAUGAUUAUUGGAGGUAGAGCACUGUUUGGACGAGGGGCCCCUCUCGGGUUACCGAAUUCAGACAAACUCCGAAUGCCAAUUAAUUUAACUUGGGAGUCAGAACAUGGGUGAUAAGGUCCGUGUUCGAAAGGGAAACAGCCCAGACCACCAGCUAAGGUCCCAAAAUAUAUGUUAAGUGGAAAAGGAUGUGGCGUUGCCCAGACAACUAGGAUGUUGGCUUAGAAGCAGCCAUCAUUUAAAGAGUGCGUAAUAGCUCACUAGUCGAGUGACACUGCGCCGAAAAUGUACCGGGGCUAAACAUAUUACCGAAGCUGUGGAUUGUCCUUUGGACAAUGGUAGGAGAGCGUUCUAAGGGCGUUGAAGCAUGAUCGUAAGGACAUGUGGAGCGCUUAGAAGUGAGAAUGCCGGUGUGAGUAGCGAAAGACGGGUGAGAAUCCCGUCCACCGAUUGACUAAGGUUUCCAGAGGAAGGCUCGUCCGCUCUGGGUUAGUCGGGUCCUAAGCUGAGGCCGACAGGCGUAGGCGAUGGAUAACAGGUUGAUAUUCCUGUACCACCUAUAAUCGUU